AAUUUUUUAGUUUACUUAAAACAUUAGUUUUUCGGGCUAAAGAUACUAUUUGUAAGUAAAAAUCA
rnacentral:tRNA from 1 species